rnacentral:rRNA from 1 species
UACAGAGGUCUCAAGCGUUGUUCGGAUUCAUUGGGCGUAAAGGGUGUGUAGGUGGCGCGCUAAGUCGGGUGUGAAAUUUCGGAGCUUAACUCCGAAACUGCAUUCGAUACUGGCGUGCUUGAGGACUGGAGAGGAGACUGGAAUUUACGGUGUAGCAGUGAAAUGCGUAGAGAUCGUAAGGAAGACCAGUGGCGAAGGCGGGUCUCUGGACAGUUCCUGACGCUGAGGCACGAAGGUCAGGGGAGCAAACGGG